AUUGAACGCUGGCGGCAUGCCUUACACAUGCAAGUCGAACGGCAGCACGGGUGCUUGCACCUGGUGGCGAGUGGCGAACGGGUGAGUAAUACAUCGGAACAUGUCCUGUAGUGGGGGAUAGCCCGGCGAAAGCCGGAUUAAUACCGCAUACGAUCUACGGAUGAAAGCGGGGGACCUUCGGGCCUCGCGCUAUAGGGUUGGCCGAUGGCUGAUUAGCUAGUUGGUGGGGUAAAGGCCUACCAAGGCGGCGAUCAGUAUCUGGUCUGAGAGGACGACCAGCAACCCUGGGACGGAGACACGGCCCAGACUCCUACGGGAGGAAGCAGUGGGGAAUUUUGGACAAUGGGCGAAAGCCUGAUCCAGCAAUGCCGCGUGUGUGAAGAAGGCCUUCGGGUUGUAAAGCACUUUUGUCCGGAAAGAAAUCCUUGGCCCUAAUACGGUCGGGGGAUGACGGUACCGGAAGAAUAAGCACCGGCUAACUACGU
rnacentral:rRNA from 1 species